GAUGAACGCUGGCGGCGUGCCUAAUACAUGCAAGUCGAGCGAACGGACGAGAAGCUUGCUUCUCUGAUGUUAGCGGCGGACGGGUGAGUAACACGUGGAUAACCUACCUAUAAGACUGGGAUAACUUCGGGAAACCGGAGCUAAUACCGGAUGAUAUUUUGAACCGCAUGGUUCAAAAGUGAAAGACGGUCUUGCUGUCACUUAUAGAUGGAUCCGCGCUGCAUUAGCUAGUUGGUAAGGUAACGGCUUACCAAGGCAACGAUGCAUAGCCGACCUGAGAGGGUGAUCCGCCCCACUGGAACUGAGACACGGUCCCGACUCCUACGGGAGGCCGCCGUAGGGAAUCCUCCGCAAUGGGCGAAAGCCUGACGGAGCAACGCCGCGUGAGUGAUGAAGGUCUUCGGAUCGUAAAACUCUGUUAUUAGGGAAGAACAUAUGUGUAAGUAACUGUGCACAUCUUGACGGUACCUAAUCAGAAAGCCACGGCUAACUACGUG
rnacentral:rRNA from 1 species